rnacentral:rRNA from 1 species
UACGUAGGGGGCAAGCGUUGUCCGGAUUUAUUGGGCGUAAAGAGCGUGUAGGCGGCCAGGCAGGUCCGUUGUGAAAACUCGAGGCUCAACCUCGAGACGUCGAUGGAAACCGUCUGGCUAGAGUCCGGAAGAGGAGAGUGGAAUUCCUGGUGUAGCGGUGAAAUGCGCAGAUAUCAGGAAGAACACCUAUGGCGAAGGCAGCUCUCUGGGACGGUACUGACGCUGAGACGCGAAAGCGUGGGGAGCAAACGGG